GCGGCGAUGGUGGAAUUUGGUAGACACGCUAGCUUGAGGUGCUAGUGGGAGAAAUCUUGUGCUGGUUCAAGUCCAGUUGGCCGCA
rnacentral:tRNA from 1 species